rnacentral:tRNA from 1 species
AGAUUCAGGUGUUGUUUGCAUAUCUUGUUUUGGUCAAGGUGGGGGUUGGGGUUGCCGGAUUUAG